rnacentral:rRNA from 1 species
ACUCAAAGGAAUUGACGGGGACCCGCACAAGCGGUGGAGCAUGUGGUUUAAUUCGAAGCAACGCGAAGAACCUUACCAAGUCUUGACAUCCCGCUGCCGUAUCUGGAGACAGGUAUUUUCCUCGGAACAGCGGAGACAGGUGGUGCAUGGUUGUCGUCAGCUCGUGUCGUGAGAUGUUGGGUUAAGUCCCGCAACGAGCGCAACCCUUAUCCUCAGUAGCCAGCGGCCAGGCCGGGCACUCUGUGGAGACUGCCAGGGACAACCUGGAGGAAGGCGGGGAUGACGUCAAAUCAUCAUGCCCCUUAUGACUUGGGCGACACACGUGCUACAAUGGCGUAAACAAAGGGAUGCGAAGGGGCGACCUGGAGCGAACCCCAAAAAUAACGUCCCAGUUCGGAUUGUAGUCUGCAACCCGACUACAUGAAGCUGGAAUCGCUAGUAAUCGCGAAUCAGAAUGUCGCGGUGAAUACGUUCCCGGGUCUUGUACACACCGCCCGUCACACCAUGGGAGCCGGUAACGCCCGAAGUCGGUGACCCAACCGUAAGGAGGGAGCCGCCGAAGGCGGGACUGGUAACUGGGGUGAAGUCGUAACAAGGUAGCCGUAUCGGAAGGUGCGGUUGGAUCACCUC